AAAUCAAGAGUCAGACGCUUAACUGACGGAGCCACACAGGCGCCCCAGGAGUUUUAAAUGUUAAUGUUUUCGACUGUGUCAACCUUUCCCUUUAUGGUGUGUGUAUUUUAUUUUCUCCUUAAAUGCAUAAACGGCUGCAAUAUCUUCGCCGUAGGUGUUCACGCCUCUGCAACGUGUCUUUGUAGCACCUCGUCCUGUUAGGAGGUGCUGUUCUAUCGCUAUCCUUCUGGAGUCUCUGUACUUGCUUCGGCCAAGGGAAGACGGCAGAAGUGAUGCUGUGGCUAUUCUGAGCGCAGAGGACUUCGGGAGCUCUGCCUGCUGCCGUGUAAAUGAACCCACGCUAGCCUACUGGAUGAUGAAGGAUGUGGCCCCGUCACCCCAGUGGCCCCAGCCCACAGCCGGCUCAGCUAACCUGGCAGCUGGCCAUGGUUGCCUGAGCGAGCCCAGCAAAGACCAUCCAAAGUGCAGUUCGAGAAAGACACUCUCUACAGAGAGAGCGCGGGUCCCCACCCCCUCCACCAGCUCUGCAGGAGGAGAGCCGUCCAACCCCACGCUUCAUCCGAAUGUUCUCGCUGAAGUAAAUGAAGAAUCCAAUCUCGGAUGAUUCACCGAGUCAGAACAAGGUCGCAAGCUGGGUGGCUGCAACAUUUCCUUUCUCACCGGCAGCAUGUGAGUGAUCCAGCCUCUCUGAAUCCGGGCGUGCAGGAGAAAUCUCUCCAGGAUUUUGAAAGGAACUUUGAAUGUUAAACUUAUAUAUCAACUUGGGGAGAAUUGACACCUUUACUAUGUGGAGUCUUCCAAUCCAUGAACAUGUUUAACAUUGUCUUGGAAGGCCGGGCCGGAGCAAAUGGGCAAGACAAAGAAAGAAAGAAAAGUCGUCCUUGGGGCGCCUGGGUGGCUC